UGAGGAAUAUUGGUCAAUGGGCGAGAGCCUGAACCAGCCAAGUAGCGUGCAGGACGACGGCCCUAUGGGUUGUAAACUGCUUUUAUAAGGGAAUAAAGUGGGUCACGUGUGACUUUUUGCAUGUACCUUAUGAAUAAGGACCGGCUAAUUCCGUGCCAGCAGCCGCGGUAAUACGGAAGGUCCGGGCGUUAUCCGGAUUUAUUGGGUUUAAAGGGAGCGCAGGCGGACUUUUAAGUCAGCUGUUAAAUUCGGUGGCUCAACCAUCGCAUGCAGUUGAAACUGGAGGUCUUGAGUGUACACAGGGAUGCUGGAAUUCAUGGUGUAGCGGUGAAAUGCUCAGAUAUCAUGAAGAACUCCAAUCGCGAAGGCAGGCAUCCGGGGUACAACUGACGCUGAGGCUCGAAAGU
rnacentral:rRNA from 1 species